rnacentral:rRNA from 1 species
GACGAACGCUGGCGGCGUGCUUAACACAUGCAAGUCGAACGGAAAGGCCCUGCUUUUGUGGGGUGCUCGAGUGGCGAACGGGUGAGUAACACGUGAGUAACCUGCCCUUGACUUUGGGAUAACUUCAGGAAACUGGGGCUAAUACCGGAUAGGAGCUCCUGCUGCAUGGUGGGGGUUGGAAAGUUUCGGCGGUUGGGGAUGGACUCGCGGCUUAUCAGCUUGUUGGUGGGGUAGUGGCUUACCAAGGCUUUGACGGGUAGCCGGCCUGAGAGGGUGACCGGCCACAUUGGGACUGAGAUACGGCCCAGACUCCUACGGGAGGCAGCAGUGGGGAAUAUUGCACAAUGGGCGGAAGCCUGAUGCAGCAACGCCGCGUGCGGGGUGACGGCCUUCGGGUUGUAAACCGCUUUCGCCUGUGACGAAGCGUGAGUGACGGUAAUGGGUAAAGAAGCACCGGCUAACUACGUGCCAGCAGCCGCGGUGAUACGUAGGGUGCGAGCGUUGUCCGGAUUUAUUGGGCGUAAAGGGCUCGUAGGUGGUUGAUCGCGUCGAAAGUGUAAUCUUGGGGCUUAACCCUGAGCGUGCUUUCGAUACGGGUUGACUUGAGGAAGGUAGGGGAGAAUGGAAUUCCUGGUGGAGCGGUGGAAUGCGCAGAUAUCAGGAGGAACACCAGUGGCGAAGGCGGUUCUCUGGGCCUUUCCUGACGCUGAGGAGCGAAAGCGUGGGGAGCGAACAGGCUUAGAUACCCUGGUAGUCCACGCUGUAAACGGUGGGUACUAGGUGUGGGGUCCAUUCCACGGGUUCCGUGCCGUAGCUAACGCUUUAAGUACCCCGCCUGGGGAGUACGGCCGCAAGGCUAAAACUCAAAGGAAUUGACGGGGCCCCGCACAAGCGGCGGAGCAUGCGGAUUAAUUCGAUGCAACGCGUAGAACCUUACCUGGGUUUGACAUGGAUCGGGAGUGCUCAGAGAUGGGUGUGCCUCUUUUGGGGUCGGUUCACAGGUGGUGCAUGGCUGUCGUCAGCUCGUGUCGUGAGAUGUUGGGUUAAGUCCCGCAACGAGCGCAACCCUUGUUCACUGUUGCCAGCACGUUAUGGUGGGGACUCAGUGGAGACCGCCGGGGUCAACUCGGAGGAAGGUGGGGAUGACGUCAAGUCAUCAUGCCCCUUAUGUCCAGGGCUUCACGCAUGCUACAAUGGCUGGUACAGAGAGUGGCGAGCCUGUGAGGGUGAGCGAAUCUCGGAAAGCCGGUCUCAGUUCGGAUUGGGGUCUGCAACUCGACCUCAUGAAGUCGGAGUCGCUAGUAAUCGCAGAUCAGCAACGCUGCGGUGAAUAAGGUCCCGGG